GUGAGGAAUUUUCCGCAAUGGGCGCAAGCCUGACGGAGCAACGCCGCGUGCAGGAUGAAGGUCUUCGGAUCGUAAACUGCUUUUCCCAGGGAAGAGAACGGACGGUACCUGGGGAAUCAGCCUCGGCUAACUACGUGCCAGCAGCCGCGGUAAGACGUAGGAGGCAAGCGUUAUCCGGAGUUACUGGGCGUAAAGCGCACGCAGGCGGUCCGCCGCGUUUGAGGUCACAGCUCCCAGCUCCACUGGGAGAGCGCCUUGAAGACGGGCGGACUCAGAGGGCCAGAGAGGGACAGAGAAUUCCGGGUGGAGCGGUGAAAUGCGUAGAGAUCCGGAGGAAUACCGAAGGCGAAGGCCCUGUCCUGGCUGGCUCCUGACGCUAAUGUGCGAAAGCUAGGGGAGCGAACGGGAUUAGAUACCCUAGUAGUCC
rnacentral:rRNA from 1 species